GAAAUGCGAUAAGUAGGGUGAAUUGCAGAAUUCAGUGAAUCAUCGAAUCUUUGAACGCACAUUGCGCCCCUUGGUAUUCCAUGGGGCAUGCCUGUUCGAGCGUCAUUUGUACCCUCAAGCUCUGCUUGGUGUUGGGUGUUUGUCCCGUCUCCGCGCGUGGACUCGCCCCAAAGUGAUUGGCAGCCGGCGUACUGGUCCCGGAGCGCAGCACAUGUCGCGCAAACGAGUGCCUUGGUACGGCGGCGUCCAUAAGCCCCUCUCUCACGCUCUUGACCUCGGAUCAGGUAGGGAUACCCGCUGAACUUAAGC
rnacentral:misc_RNA from 1 species